UGGGGUAUAGCUCAGUGGUAGAGCAUUUAUUUGCCUAGUAGGAGGGCCUGGAUUUGAUCCCCAGCACCACAC
rnacentral:tRNA from 1 species